rnacentral:ncRNA from 2 species
GGGUGCGGGGCCGCUUGCUUCUUGUUGGCGGCGCCGCAGGUUCAUGCGAUGGUCGGGCCGCCACG